rnacentral:rRNA from 1 species
GAACGCUGGCGGCGUGCCUAACACAUGCAAGUCGAACGAAGCAUCGCGCCCGACAAAGUGGAGUGCUUGCACAAAGCGGAGUCAAUUGUGAUGACUUAGUGGCGGACGGGUGAGUAACGCGUGGGUAACCUGCCUUAUACAGGGGGAUAACAGUUAGAAAUGACUGCUAAUACCGCAUAAGCGCACAGUAUCGCAUGGUACAGUGUGAAAAGCCGAGACGGUAUAAGAUGGACCCGCGUCUGAUUAGCCAGUUGGCAGGGUAACGGCCUACCAAAGCGACGAUCAGUAGCCGGCCUGAGAGGGUGAACGGCCACAUUGGGACUGAGACACGGCCCAAACUCCUACGGGAGGCAGCAGUGGGGGAUAUUGCACAAUGGGGGAAACCCUGAUGCAGCGAACCGCCGCGUGAGCGAUGAAGUAUUUCGGUAUGUAAAGCUCUAUCAGCAGGGAAGAAAAUGACGGUACCUGACUAAGAAGCUCCGGCUAAAUACGUGCCAGCCGCUGC